rnacentral:lncRNA from 1 species
AGUCUUUUCAUUCUCUCCUCUAGCCCAUCAGAGCCUAAAUUUAGUGGACCCAUGACCCAAGCAAAUACCUUCACUUCCUGUGUUUUCCUGUUGCAGCCCUGCUCAGCAAUGACUGUGUGCAUAGAAGAAGGAGAAAAGGUGAAUCCCCAAGCAAGCAGCCAUGUCCCUUGCAAGCUGUCAAAGUCCAGCUGCUGAACACAGCAACAGAAGGAGAGACCAUCCCAUGCAUGACAGUUAUGCCAAGCAUCAAGACUUUAAACAGAAAAGAGUUUAUGUAACCGUGGUGCCCAAAUGCUUCCUCAUGACAGUCUCUCUCAGCCAAACCAUCAAGGGCUGUGUAUCUCUCAGGAAGAUCUGCAUUCCAACUGAGAUGCCAGUGCAGGUUGAGGAGAUGGAUCCGUACACGACACAGCUCCUGUUCCAGGAGGGAGCACGAGCUAAAGAUGUGGUAGCAAUGGAAUGCAUUUGCUGCAUGGCCUAGGCAUCCAAGAGUGAAAUAGUUUUAGUCUCAAGACUGAUUUUGAGAGGUGGACCUCCUUGCAGAAUAUAAAUUGUCUCUUAAAAAUUAGUGGGGGAGCAAAAUCAGUUUCUUUACUGGGGAGACAUGGCAUGCGCUCAGCAUUGCAUAUGUGUCCUCCACAGCCAUGUAACGUGGAAUUAAACCUAAGCAGAAGCUUGGAUGGUAUUGAUUCUUAAAGAAACACACCUUCACACCUUAUAAACUCUGGGCCUCUGUGUUCUUGAGGCGCCUCUAUUAAAGGCAGACAGGAAUUUAAAUAUUUUUGUGCACAGUCCAUGCAAGUGCUGAAUUACAUGACAACUUCAGAAAACAUGGGGGGAAUGAAUUUGUAGAAAAUUCUCAAAACCUGACAGAAGGCUCACAUAGUAUGCAUACCUUGAGAUAAGAAAUGCUGACUUAGAAAUGCCAUGGAAUAGGACAGACAUUUUUGAGAGAGAAACUGAACUACAAACAAGUUUCAAAGGAUGGCCUUGCAAAAAAAGACUAGAUACUUUAGAGAAAUAGAGCUAUGAAAGAUGCAUUAUAGUAAGACCUACAAGGGAUAAUUUUAGAUGAUUGGCUUUCAGACAUUUACAACACGGUGUGGCAAAAGCUGAUAGGCCAAGACAUGCUUAUAAUGUAUUGUAAUUAGGAAAUAGUUAACUUCUGAUUGUAAUGGCAUGAAUUAUAACAUCUGAAUUGUCUCACCCUUCGCAUGAGACUGAAAAUGGAAUAAAAGUUUUUA